ensembl:lncRNA
AGAAGACAUAUGCAAUCAUCCAUGUCCUCAGGACAAACAGUAUCUGAUCUCCCCAGACCACGGGAGCUGGCUUUGAGAAGUGAACCAACAGGAUGUGCAGUUUUUUUUUUUUUUAAAGGUAAUUACUCUCACAAUUUAUCAUCUGACAAAAGGAAGCAGCUGAUAAAAGAAGCCCUCCUUUGUUCUGGACUUCCUGGCCGGGUCUCACAAGUCCUGUUUGCUUUGACCGCCUCUGGAGUGUUUGCCCAGUGAGGUCAGGGAAGGGAAGGAGAACACCGCCCGCCUGUUGUCGGAGCCGCAGGAAGCCAGCUGCGAGCUCCGCUUGCCAGGGCUUCACAGGGCUUGGCAGCUCAAUUUCCUCUCAGCCUACCAGAUGAGACAGAAGAGUCCACCGGUCACUUAUCUAAGCAAAGCACAUUGGGAGCCAUUAGAACUUGCGCCACCCGGCAGACUGUCCUGAACCAGAGAGGAGAAAUCAAGGCCGCCUCACCAUAUGAG